AUGAGCCCUAAAGGGACAAUAACCAUCGUCGCAGUUUAUGUUGUUGACAUCAUUAUCGCCGGCGAAGAUGACGUAGAGAUAGCAAGGUUAAAGGGGUGCCUAAGUAAGGCAUUUGAAGUUAAAGAUCUUGGUCGACUCAAGUACUUCCUUGAUAUAGAAGUGGCAAGUGUUGUCAUGGUGAUGGUUCAACUAAAGAAAAAGAGAAGCUGGAAGGCAACAUUUGCAGGGUUUUGGAUUUGUUUAGUGUUGUUAACCACUCGUUUUCUUCAGCAUGAACAUCAUCUUGGUCGGCCUAUUAACCAAAAUCUAGGUAGCCUUUUGAUGGAUUUCCUGUAUUGUUUGUGUGCUUUUGCUGAUGCUUUUGCUGUUCUAGAAAACGAGCUACUGCAGUUCAGUGCAGAAUGUUUUCUAUUUAGUGCAGGCUUGUUCGAAGGUAUUAGGCCGAAUUGGAUGCAAGAGCAAGAUGGUGCUGCACUCUGCACACAGAAGAUCCUUAACCUCGUGCCGGUGGUAUGUGCUGCCAAGGAUGCGGAAAUGGAAUCGCCUAAUGAUGUGUGCUGCCAGACCUAUAAGUCAACAUCAGCUUGUGGAACAGGAAAUGGAGAAAUUCUACGAAGGAGGCUACCUGUGUUCGGAAACAGAGUAGGAAGCAACUCCUACUUGGAGCUGGUACAAGGCUUGAUACUGGAUGUGGUGUCCGGUGUAGCAAAGCGAUUUUCAGAUCGUCGUUUCUCUGGAACAGCAAGAUUGUUCCUUGAACACACCAAGAGGUUACUCGCCAAUGGGAUUGCCGAGCUACUCUUCAGUUACAGUCAGAGCAAUCUUUAUGGCAUCAGGGACAUGACAUUUUUUCAAGGUAACAGCCAGCGUGCCUGCUGUGCCGCCGUGCCGCCCCGAAUAGCAGUUGGGGCGUGCCUGGGCUCGAGAGUGCAGCAUGCGGGCCGGCACGGGACGGCCCGUUUACUAACCGUGUGCCGUGCCGGCCCGUUUGACGAGCUUUGCCCAAUCAGUCGGAAUCCUACUCAUUUCUCAAAAAAAAAGUUGGAAUCCUACUCACUUGCCACCUCCACCUUCUCCUCCCCGGCGCCGCCGGCCUCCACCAGCCAAUCGCGGGUCCGGCUCGUCGAGCCCCCAAAUCCGGCCGGAUCCACCAGCCAAACGCGGGUCCGGCUCGUCGAGCAAGCCGGCCAGCCUCGCCGACACCGGGACACCAGGCCUAGCCCUCAUCCGUCGGCGCUCGCGCAGGGUCCUCAUAUCCAGCCUCGAGUGACGUCAGCCUUCACCAUGGAGAACACCUGCAUAAGCUUCACCGCCGUCGCGCGCUCGGUGCGGAUGCUCAAGAUCGACGGCUUCAGCCUGACCGAGAGCAUGGACCACGACGACUGCGUCAGAUCCAGGUGGAGCUUCGACGGGUAUGAGUGGGUGGUCCGCGUCUACCCCGCGAUGAGCUCUGCCGGCGGCGGUGCGUACGUGGUGUUGGAGGUGGCCUUCCUCAGCAACAGCAAGCCCCGCAGGGGCAGCGUGAGGGUGGCCAUAGGAUGCCGGCUGGUCGACCCGAGAGGGAUACUCAAACCGUCCAAUGAAAUCAGCAUCUCAAAGGUGUUCAGUCGCCCCCAGGAAUGCUCGACCAAGGCGGCGGUCGUCGGGCGGCGCGCGCUGGCGGCGUCGGCGUUUCUCUGA
rnacentral:rRNA from 1 species